rnacentral:rRNA from 1 species
AUUGAACGCUGGCGGCAUGCCUAACACAUGCAAGUCGAAUGCUGAAGCCCUUUCGGGGGUGGAUGAGUGGCGAACGGGUGAGUAACACGUGGGUAAUCUGCCCUGCACUCUGGGAUAAGCCUUGGAAACGGGGUCUAAUACCGGAUAGGACACAUCGCCGCAUGGUGUGUGUGUGGAAAGUUCCGGCGGUGCAGGUUGAGCCCGCGGCCUAUCAGCUUGUUGGUGGGGUGAUGGCCUACCAAGGCGACGACGGGUAGCCGGCCUGAGAGGGUGACCGGCCACACUGGGACUGAGACACGGCCCAGACUCCUACGGGAGGCAGCAGUGGGGAAUCUUGCGCAAUGGGCGAAAGCCUGACGCAGCAACGCCGCGUGGGGGAUGACGGCCUUCGGGUUGUAAACCUCUUUCGACCGGGACGAAGGGUGACUGACGGUACCGGUAGAAGAAGCACCGGCUAACUACGUGCCAGCAGCCGCCGCAG